UUGGAGGGCAAGUCUGGUGCCAGCAGCCGCGGUAAUUCCAGCUCCAAUAGCGUAUAUUAAAGUUGUUGCAGUUAAAAAGCUCGUAGUUGAAUUUCGGGAUUGACACAUCGGUCGUGCCUUAAGGGGUACGAACUGGUGUAGUCAAUUUCUCGCCUUCUGGAGAACCGCAAUGCCCUUAAUUGGGUGUCGCGGGGAACCAGGACCUUUACUUUGAAAAAAUUAGAGCGUUUAAAGCAGGCAUUUUGCUUGAAUGCAUUAGCAUGGAAUAAUAAAAUAGGACGGCAUGAUUCUAUUUUGUUGGUUUCUAGGAUCACCGUAAUGAUUAAUAGGGAUAGUUGGGGGCAUUAGUAUUCAAUUGUCAGAGGUGAAAUUCUUGGAUUUAUUGAAGACCGACUACUGCGAAAGCAUUUGCCAAGGAUGUUUUCAUUAAUCAAGAACGAAAGUUAGGGGAUCGAAGACGAUCAGAUACCGUCGUAGUCUUAACCAUAAACUAUGCCGACUAGGAAUCAGACGAUGUUAAUUUUUUAAUGACUCGUUCGGCGCCUUACGGGAAAC
rnacentral:rRNA from 1 species